UUUGUUUAGUAACUACCUUUUUCCAGAUGUUCACAAAUCUGUGGAAGAAUACAUUGGGAGUAAAACUUCCAAGAAACAUCUCGGCCUCCUUAACCAUGUUCAUUGAGUUCUUCUACGUGGCUAGGUUGCCUAUUUUCUACCAUACUUCUGAAUCUGAAAAGUCCAGUGGAAGGGUUUAUCUGGUUGGACUGCUUACUCACUGAUUGAUUUCAAAUGCAUUUAUGCUUUUGUCCUCUCUUGAGAUUUAAUUGGAUCAUGGGAAAGCAGGAGACUAUUUGUGGAUAGAGAAACAAUUUUACAUUAAAGUCAUUAUUUCUGGUAGUUGUGGUGCCUCAGUUAUGGCUUGCUGUUCAAGCUUAUGACCUGGUCAAGGCCAUAUUAUGCAGGCAAUCGGAUUCU